rnacentral:rRNA from 1 species
GAUGAACGCUGGCGGCGUGCCUAAUACAUGCAAGUCGAGCGAACGGACGAGAAGCUUGCUUCUCUGAUGUUAGCGGCGGACGGGUGAGUAACACGUGGAUAACCUACCUAUAAGACUGGGAUAACUUCGGGAAACCGGAGCUAAUACCGGAUAAUAUUUUGAACCGCAUGGUUCAAAAGUGAAAGACGGUCUUGCUGUCACUUAUAGAUGGAUCCGCGCUGCAUUAGCUAGUUGGUAAGGUAACGGCUUACCAAGGCAACGAUGCAUAGCCGACCUGAGAGGGUGAUCGGCCACCUUGGAACGGAAACAGGGUCCAGACCCCUACGGGAGGCAGCAGUGGGGAAUCUCCGGCAAUGGGGAAAAGCCUAAGGGAGCAACGCCGGGUGAGUGAUGAAGGUUUUCGGUUCGAAAAACUCUGUUAUUGGGAAAGAAAAUAUGUGUAGGUAACUGUGCAGAUCUUGAGGGUCCCUAUCAGAAAGCCACGGCUAACUACGUG